CCCUUAGAUGUCCUGGGCUGCACGCGCGCUACACUGAUGUGUCCAGUAAGCACCUAACCUCUUCCGAAAGGAACGGGUAACCUUUGCAAAGCACAUCGUGAUGGGGAUAGAUUAUUGCAAUUAUUAGUCUUGAACGAGGAAUUCCUAGUAAGCACAAGUCAUCAGCUUGUGUUGAUUACGUCCCUGCCCUUUGUACACACCGCCCGUCGCUCCUACCGAUUGAAUGUUCCGGUGAGCUCUUCGGACUGCGCGGUCUGCAGUUUCUGCGUUCCGUGCGGAAAGUUGCGCAAACCUUAACAUUUAGAGGAAGGAGAAGUCGUAACA
rnacentral:rRNA from 1 species